AAUUUCACACCUGGAUGUGCUCAGUCAACCAAGAAUCUAGAGAAAGAGCUUCUGCCCUAAGACGCAGACAAAAAAUAUUCUCUCCUCUGCUUCUUCUCUCCACUGUAGAUUUCUUUAGACCCUCAUCCCUGCUUAAGAGGUUGUGGCACGGG
rfam:Anolis carolinensis chromosome 6 cont2.485, whole genome shotgun sequence.